UUGUAACAAUUUUGGACGUGAUUAUUUUUAUCUUGUUUUUCUGUUAUUUCGGUUCUAAAUUCGAUUGUAUUAUCAGCUUGUUUUUCUCAGUGAGACAAAGAUGCACUUAUGGGAUCGAACUGUACCCUUCGAAUAAUCUACUUUCUUGUUCUCUCCAGUUCUUUUUUGCUAUUUUCUUUCUCUCUUUUUCUGUCCUUGUUGGUAACUUUGAGUUUGCAUUGCUCUUUCUCUCUAGUUUCUUUGUCUAAUUUUGAUAAUUCCGUUUUGCUUACGUCACUGUCUUGUUUGCUACCCCGUCUUCAACGCUCGAUGAUCCAUUUCUGUCUCUGAAUUUCGUGAGUGGAGGUUGUAAAUUUAACUUUUUCCUUUGAUUCCAUUUUUAUUUAGCUUAUGCUAAAUUUUUCUAUUUAUUACAAUAUGUAGUUGAUCAGAGACAGAUUUCAUACAUCACAAGUUGUGAUAUUAUUAUUAUUUUCUUUAUUUUUUUUAUUUCCUUUUUAAAUAUGUAAAUUUUCUUGUUUGUUAUAAAAAAAAAAAAGAAAAGUAAUCAUGUCCGAAAAUUUAAUUGAGUAUUCAUUCUAGCUGGCCUAAGUUAUGGCAAUUUAUUUAUAUUUGUUGAAAACCUCAUUCAUCACAUAUGUAUCCAUAGUAAUUUCUACAAUUUCCGCUGUACAGCGGUCGUUGACUCGUAGACACGUAGACUCGUAGACUCGUAGUAUCACAGGAUGUCUUAGUUAUGGCCAUGGAAGCUGAAUCCUUGCUGACCAACUCAUCACAAGGAAACCAAUAUUUCCAGAAAAGAUCUAAAUUCGCCGUAAAAAGGAUACUUCAAGAACUUCUUGUGCAGUGAAAAAUUAAUAAGUGAAAAAUUUGAAUAAAGUGUACGGAGGCCUCCUCACUUCAAUACACCAGGUAUUUACGAAACAACCAAUAUUAAUUUAUGGAAAAUUCACAGGCAACUACUUCGCAAAAA